CAGUCGCCACGGGAAUACGUAGGUGGCAAGCGUUGUCCGGAAUUAUUGGGCGUAAAGGGCUCGCAGGCGGUUUCUUAAGUCUGAUGUGAAAGCCCCCGGCUCAACCGGGGAGGGUCAUUGGAAACUGGGAAACUUGAGUGCAGAAGAGGAGAGUGGAAUUCCACGUGUAGCGGUGAAAUGCAUAGAGAUGUGGAGGAACACCAGUGGCGAAGGCGACUCUCUGGUCUGUAACUGACGCUGAGGAGCGAAAGCGUGGGGAGCGAACAGGAUUAGAUACCCCCGUAGUCCCUGUCUCUUAUAC
rnacentral:rRNA from 1 species